rnacentral:misc_RNA from 1 species
UUUCCGUAGGUGAACCUGCGGAAGGAUCAUUCAUAAUAAAGUGUUUUAUGGCACUUUUUAAAAAUCCAUAUCCGCCUUGUGUGCAAUGUUAGAUCUCGUCAAUCUUGGCGAGAUUUUUAUACAUCAACUCAUUUUUUAACUAAUUUGUCUGAAAAAUAUUAUGAAUACUUAAUUCAAAAUACAACUUUCAACAACGGAUCUCUUGGCUCUC